rnacentral:tRNA from 1 species
GGUUGUGCUCAGUGGUACAGUGUUCACCUAGCAUGCAUGAGGCCCUGGGUUCGAUUCUCAGCACCA